ACAAAUACGACAGACUGAGGCAGGAAAAAGGAAACUAGUGCUGGGAUCACAGACUGGGAAGCUACACAAGGAAGCAACAACAGCUGGGAGACGAGUCAAAGAAACACAACAAACUGGCAGUUAGUGCAGUGGAGAGUGGGCCUGAAUACAAAACCACUCAGGUGAGAAACCUGGUGCAGGUGAGGAUAAUUAGCAGCCUCAACGUGAACCUGCUGGUGAGGAGCAAAACAAAGCCAGGAGUGGAAAUGUUGGUCGGUGACAGAAAUACAGGAUAUCUAAUAUGGUGGUGACAAAACAAGUGACUCCACAGCAUCAAUGUGCAAACAAGGUGACAUCACAUGGUGCUUCAGUGUUCCUGCUUUUAUCCAGACUGGAUGUGAACGUCUCAUGGAAACACAAGGUGACCAUGGCCGUACCGGCUGCGCUGAUCCCACCAACUCCUCUGGUCCCACCGCCUCCGAUCUCCACUCCCUCCGCCACCACAUCCCCUCCGUCGACAACUUCGUCUCCGUCUCCAUCCCUGGCACCGCCGCCCACCGGACCGGCUCAGAACCUCUUCAGAUCGGAGCUCUUGGCCACCAGCAGCCCGGGCAUCCCGACCCCGAGCGCGGCUCUUCCGCCGGGCAAACCCGUGUACUCGACCCCUUCCCCCGUUGAGAACAUACCGCAGAACAACGAGUGUAAGAUGGUGGAGUUGCGCGGUGCCAAAGUGGCCUCGUUCACCGUGGAGGGCAGCGAACUCAUCUGCCUGCCCCAGGCGUUCGACCUGUUCCUGAAGCACCUGGUCGGCGGACUGCACACCGUCUACACCAAGCUGAAGCGGCUGGACAUCACCCCGGUGGUGUGCAACGUGGAGCAGGUGCGCAUCCUCAGAGGGCUCGGCGCCAUCCAGCCCGGCGUGAACCGCUGCAAACUCAUCUCCAGGAAAGACUUCGAGACUCUCUACAACGACUGCACCAACGCGAGCUCCAGACCUGGUCGACCUCCGAAGAGGACCCAGAGCGUGACAUCUCCGGAGAACCCCCACAUCAUGCCCCACUCAGUCCCAGGGCUCAUGUCCCCUGGCAUGAUCCCACCCACAGCUUGGUCGUCAAGAAAGCAGUGCCAGUACGGAACUGUACCAAUCUUCAGAUGUUUGAAUCCCAGUCUGAUGACAUUAUCAUGUCAAUCUGUUGACGAAGCAGGCCUGACAGCGGCGGCGGCAGCAGCUGCCAACGCAGCCAUCGCAGAGGCCAUGAAGGUGAAGAAGAUCAAACUGGAGGCGAUGAGCGGCUACCACAGCAGCGCCAACCACCACGGGGCCGACGGGGAGAACGGAGACCUGAGCUCCAGUGUCGGCCUGGAACUCCCCUUCAUGAUGAUGCCACACCCCCUGAUCCCUGUCAGCCUGCCCCCAGCCUCUGUCACCAUGGCGAUGAGUCAGAUGAACCACCUCAGCACCAUUGCAAACAUGGCUGCUGCUGCACAAGGCCAGAGCCUGCCCUCCAGAAUGGUCACCUCUGUUAUAAAGGGGUUCCAGGAACGCGUGCCGGACAGUCCCUCUCCUGCCCCGUCCUUGGAAGACAACAGGAGGCCCGGCAGUCACCCAUCAUCUCACCGCAGCAGCAGUGUGUCCAGCUCCCCCGCCCACACAGAAAGCUCCUCAGACAGGAUACCAGCUAUCCACCACAACGGCCUGUCCAUGAACCAAGCUCUGCUCGGCCUGUCCCCCAACAUCCCACCUGGUCCUAAAGAGGGAGAUCUGGCCCACGACAUGAGCCAUGAAGUCAAGAGGAUGCAUGUUGACAAAGCCGGCUCCCUUCAGUUACGCCUGCCACAUCUCUUUUACACCCAGCUAGAAGGUCUGACAGGAGAGCUCAGAGACAGCUACGAAGACAACCCCCUGUGCACUCCAACAGCCAGAGACAGCUACGAGAGGUUGUCAUUGGCCGGACAGGCUCUACCUCCAGGUUUCCCUUCACCAUUUCUCUUCCCAGAUGGUCUGUCAUCAAUAGAGACUCUGCUCACAAACAUACAGGGCCUGCUCAAAGUGGCGAUUGACAACGCUCGGGCCCAGGAGAAGCAGGUGCAGCUGGAGAAGACGGAGCUGAAGAUGGAGUUGUUCAGAGAGAAGGAGCUCAGGGAGACUCUGGAGAAGCAGCUCGCCAUGGAGCAGAAGAACAGAGCGAUUAUUCAGAAGCGUCUGAAGAAGGAGAAGAAGGCCAAGAGGAAACUGCAGGAAGCUCUGGAGUACGAGUCGAAGAGGAGAGAGCAGGUGGAGCAGAGCCUGAAGCAGCCCUCGCCCAACGACAGCAUGCGUUCACUCAACGGUCAGACGCUUCACAAAGGAUCUAUGAACAGACUCUCUGACCCCUGAGAUGGAGAGUGACCGCAGCAGUGGAAGAACAGAUGCUGAAAGGACAAUACAAGACAUAUUCAAUAGGACACAGAUCUGGACCGCAGGCAGAUGGAAGACUGUUCCUGAAAACUGCAGUGAUGUACUGAUGAGGCCAUGAGAAGAUCCAGGAGACAGUGGAAGUAAAAAGUUACACAAAACAAAACUAAAAAAACACGGUUUAAAAAAUAAGAGAAAAAGAAAAGCAAGAAAAGUCUUGAAAAUUCUCCAAAGCUCUGAUCCAGUCUGAUAAAAAAAGUGGAAAAAAAGCUGUUUUCACCAGGAGAAGGUUGAGUCUGAAUGUAGGAUAAAAGAAGUCUCUCGUUUUUAAUCCCAGCGGCCGAUGUGAGGGAAUUAGCAGGUGUUUGGGCCGACGUGAAGGCUAAACAUAUAUAUAUAUAUAUAUAUAUAUAUAUAUUGAGCACAGUUAAAAAAAAAUGUACCCGUGGUACAAUGUUGGUAAUAAGUCAUAAACAAAUGAAUAAAUCCACAGCACUGAAGAUUUUUUAUACUGUAUCUCUGCCAGCGAGAAAGCUUCAAAAAAAAAAGAAAAUUGACUGAAGUUUUUCUUUGUUUUUUUUUUUGUAUUUCAAAUUGAAUUCAAAAGUCUCAAAAUGACCCGUGGGGACGAUGAAGGUCAUGAUGACAAAAAAAUAAUAAUGUGAAUCUCAUGAAAAGAGAAGAGGAUGUUGGGUUUUAAUGUCUUUUCUAAAUUAGAUGACAAAUACAAUCAAGUUUCCUUUUUACCAUUGUUGUAUAUAUAUAUGAUGAAGAUCGGACAAUUGCGAUAGGAAUCCAGCCCCCUAGUGGAUCAGUGAGGUAUGUGUAUAUAAUGUUCAAAAAGGUAUUGUGUAUGCAGUAGAGCUAUUAGGCAAACAAUACCACCCGUUUAUAUAAAUCUCCACUUUUGUUUCCUUCUCUUUCUGAGCCAUCAUCCUUUUUCCUAUAGCUGCCAUUUUUGGUGAGAAAGCAUGCAGGCAUGUAAAUGUUUGUCCUGGAAUUAUGAUAUUUAAUAAAAAUCCUAUAUUGUGCUGAACAAAUACUAGGGUUGACGUCACUCCAGAGCCCAGGUUGAUUUUUUUUUCUUUUUGGAAAAACAAAAUAUAACUCUUGAUGAUACAUUUCACUUUCAAAAAUGAAGACCUUUUUUUCCUGUCAAUAGUACUGUAAUCUUUGUAACAGAGGUUCAUAUUUCUUGGAAUUUUACUGUACAUUUGUCAUGAGACACUCGUUAAAAAAACAAGAAGGAAAAAAAAAAGAAAUCAGCACCUCAAUACUGUUUUUAAAAAAAGACAAAAAAAAAAAUCACCUAUCAUACCCUGACUAAUUAAUGAAGAACACUGGGAAACAAUCAGCUGUGACACGCACACAUUAGGGAUGUGCACCUCGUUAACAGUGUUGAUAGAAAGUUUACACACCUCUGUGGAAGUGCUAGGUAUUUUUGAGUGAAAUAGCGCCACCAAGCUGUUAAGUAUUAGAACUUUAAUGGCAGAAAUAUCGAACUCAACCACCAGCAGGUUUCUCAGUGGGGGUGGUAUUUAUUUUGUUUUGAGCCCAGUAUACAGUCGGCCUCAGUACUGAGUACUGUGGCUCCAUGUAACUGGGUAUGUUGGACCAACUGGACAGAGGCUACUGUUAAAGGUCAGGGAAAUCAGUCCCAUAGAAUGAACCAAUCACCAAUGAGCUUAACAGUGACUACAGUGUUUUCAUGGUGAUGUGUUGAUUUAACCCACCCAUAGACAGGCGGCAACACUGCUGUUUGAAUCAACAAUCCUCUACUCACUCAACCUCUGGGCCACAGGAUGUCCGCUAACACUGCGUUGCUAACCAAACCCAUUGGAAUAAAAAGAUAAGAAAAACGCUUAUAUCGCGUUGCUUGAUCAUUUUUAGAUAUCUGCCUCAUUGAGACCUGUCAGUCGGUCACAUAGUAAAUAAGCUACAGAUAGUCUUACCAGAGAGUCCCUCCUUGUGGCUAACGUUAGCCCGGUGGUUCUCAUUUUAAUUUCUGUCAUGCCCCUUGUCCUUUAGGGGACAGACAUAUUUUCACGCCCCCCGGUCCGUCCGACCCACACCCCUGUGAAUUGAAAUACUAUUGAAAACCUAAUAACGUAUGUUUUUAUCUGUACAAACAACUGUAUGAGUUGCUGCCACCUAGUGACUGGAGGCUUGUUAUCGUUCAAGCAUUACAGCAGUGGUACACUGAUGUCCAGGGUUCCAUAUUCCAUUGGAAGCCCCUCCGCCCCCCCGGCACCUCACCGUGCCCACCCUGGGUGGUCCGCCCCACUAUAGCAGCACUGCGUUAGCCCAUGCUGCAGUGUUGGCGUCCACACACGGUGAUUUCCUCCAUCGUUUGCAAACGUCUGUAUAAUACUUUCACUUCCUUCUAAUGACUGAAAAGCUUCAGCUUCAGGUUAAGAAUCACACUACCACCAGUCACUACACUAGAUCACAUGGUCUUUGUUGUGGGCUAAGUUUCGUGGCACAAACUUCUCAAUCCAAACUUUAGUGUUCAGUAUUUCCUGCCUAAUUGGAUAUUUGUUGGUUUUUAAUCAAAUUUAGAAAACAAAGCACACGUUAAUCACUUGGUGUUGUUAUUCCACACUGGAAAAGGAGUGUUUAUGGGGUGUGUAAACUUUGUGUUUUCCCAGACACUGUGUUUUCUGCUCUAAUCUCUUUGGACAUUUUUAUAUAGUGUGUCACGAUGGCCUGAUGAGUAGAAGGAGAAGAAGAAGAACUCACGAGAAGUCUGAUUUGUCUUCUUACUUUGCCUGAAGGUUUGAAUUUCAGUGCUGUGUAUAUUCUCUCAGAACAUACGCUGAUGUCAGUCUUUUUACCUAGCAACCAGUUUCUGUGUUACAAUCAGGAGGUGGAGGAGGAGAUGAUGGAGGUGGAAGAGGGGUGUGUCAUGUUUCACGAUGUGUUUGUUCAUUUUCGUUCUCUAUGGAGGUGUCUAGGUCUGUCGUCACUGAUAACUUAUAUAGCUUCUUGAAAUCAUCUCUUCAUUGUAUUUCAAAUUCAAAUAAAGUUAACAUGUUGAUGAUAA